AGUGACCGCCAGGGAGGCCUUGCAGGGCCUCUGUCUGCUACAAGUCAGGACCUAUGCAAAAAAGCCAACCACUCCAGCCCCACUCCCAACUGCCAUCUCAAGACAAAGCACUACCUGGAAAAUUUAGAAGAAAAUUAUCUGCCCAGUGAGCCUCCCAAUUAUGACUCGUCUAAAAAAUGGAUUACCACCUCUAAUGUCAAGAAAAAAAGAAGGGUAAUUGUGGAAGGGGCUAACAGCGGGCCUAUUAGCCAAAGAAGCUGAGAAGAAGCUGAGAAGCAAGAAGAAGCUGAUAAGCAGCUUUCUCCAAGGCUGUCACCAAGGAGACUAAGAGAAGAGAGGAAUUGAAGAAAGAUAAGGAGAGAACUUUGCAGCUGGAUGAAGUAUUUUUAGAAAGUUAGCUGAAGCCACUGUUACUUUUCACCAAUGGUAUUAUGUUGAAUUAUUGUGGCCAAUAGUUAAGGUAGAAGAAGGAUAAACAAUUAAAAAGUGUAUAAAAGGUCAGCCAUCUUCGAGAAGAAACAGUUGCCAUCUGAAACUGCUUACUGUCUAUACUUUGUGUCGCGACCACCUCAACAGCGACAUCUGUUGAACCCCGACUGCUAUUGCACCCUACCCUGAGGAACAGUGUUUGGUGAUCACUGAGUGGAACAACAUACUCGGUUUGGACACAUACGGGGUCCCAGCGACUGGCAACCGUGACCCACUGGGAAAGAGUGGGGGAGGUGGCGUUGGUGUAGCUGAGAGUGGCGUGUGGAAGCCACAGGGAGGUCCAGACCUGAAUUUCUCCUGUCAAGACACCUGGAAACAGAGCCCUGCAAAAAUCCAUAGCAGCUGUAUUUACAGGUCAAAAACAAAAAGGGGGAAUUGUGGAAGGGGCUAACAGCGGGCCUGUUAGCCAAAGAAGCUGAGAAGAAGCUGAGAAGCAAGAAGAAGAUGAUAAGCAGCUUUCUCCAAGGCUGUCACCAAGGAGACUAAGAGAAGAGAGGAAUUGAAGAAAGAUAAGGAGAGAACUUUGCAGCUGGAUGAAGUAUUUUUAGAAAGUUACUCGAAGUCACUGUUAUUUUUCACCAAUGGUGUUAUGUUGAAUUAUUGUGGCCAAUAGUUAAGGUAGAAGAAGGAUAAACAAUUAAAAAGUGUAUAAAAGGUCAGCCAUCUUCGAGAAGAAACAGUUGCCAUCUGAAA